rnacentral:misc_RNA from 1 species
UAUAAAAUGUAGUUAAACUUUUAUUAAAAGAUGAAAUAGGAUAGCGCUUUAUUUCCCUUCGUCUGGGAAAGCGGAAGUUUUUACACUACCCUUGUUAUAUUUCUUUAUUUAAAAUUAACAAUUAACUGCGCAGUUUACCUCAAGCACAGACGUGAAAAGGAUAUAAAAUAUAAUUCAUGACAAUUUCAUAAUAAGUUGUUCUACAGAUGGAUUAGAAUUCACAUGAACAUCUGCCUCGGUGAUCACAACCUGUCUUGCUUUAUCAGGCGACGUACAUGUAGAUGCUGCACCAUUUUCCCGAUAAAGUGAUAUACGUGAUCUACGUGCAUUUACCUUACCAAGAUCACUUUUCAAGCUUUCACUAUCUUCAUUCAAUACAUUAUGAAGUCAGAGUUAUUUUUGGUUUUCUUUACAUUCACAUUACAUCCCAAGACUGAGGUCUAUGUCUUUUCCUAUUACUUAACUGUGGGCGAGUAGCUUUAACAUAACUAGACAAAUAGAAACCUCUCCCUUACAUGGCCUUCAUAGAUUAAUAUACGCCCGCUAGGGAAAAAUAUCUAGAGCAUAUCAAAUAUCAUUUUUUUGCUGUUUCUAUUUGUAUUCAUAACGGGGAAAAAGAUAAAUAGGUACUGCGCGUUUCCUACACAGCAUUUUGUUUUUGAGACAUAACUUAUUUUGUCAAAUAAUGGAUCUUAUGGACCUCCUUUGUAAAGUAAAUGAAUAAGAAGAAAUAAACAUAGAAAUCGAAAUGUUCUUUUGAAGGUGUUUCGCAGAAAAAAAACGCGUGGAAUAUAAUUAAUCUAAAUUAAUAGUUAAAGUAAAUUACUAGCAGAUAUGAUACAUAGCGUAAUUAUGUUUCCAACGCAUAGUGUGCUUUUCAUUUAUUUUUACACAUGUAAUUUUCUCUGUAAUAAAAAUAUAAAUAGUAAUAACUUAAUAAUUACAUUUGUUUACGUAGCAUGAUUAAAUCUGUCCCAGUUUACACUGACCUUUUAGAUUAUACAAUACCUACCAAUGAUAAGGUAUUCCAAUCUAUGAUUGCUUCUUUGCUUUCCAGCUGGUUAUUUGGGUAAUUUUAUGUGUGGUCACGUAG